CCGCAAUGGGAUGAUGUCUCGCAGCUGCUGGGCUGCUUGGCGGUUGGUUCAAAUCCUGUUCAGUCUGACUAUACUAGAUUUCCUCUAGGUGCUCUGGUUUCCUGCCACAGUCCAAAGACAUGUUUCAGAUGGGAUGGUAACUCUAAAUUUUCCAAAGUGUGUGUGUGUAUUAUGUUGCAGUGAGUUUACUGUAGUAUAUCCAGUACUGUAAGGCCUCUUACACAAAGGUGCCAGCUGUAGUUUAUGAUCAUUGUAUAUCGUUUUGGAGAAAAGUACCUUCUAAAUAAAACAAUGUAGAAUUUAGCAGGUGUUUCUGUAAUGAUCAACACUGGUUCUAUUACGUUAAGGCAUUAUUUAUGUUUAGGCUGAGAAUCAGAUUCCUGUCAUAAAUUGUUUUAUUACACAUUACACAUUCCUGCACAUGGAAGGAUGGGGAAGGUGACUGGGGGGGAGGUGCACUGUCCAUGUUAAUUCUUUAAAGCCAUACAAACACAUUUUGCUCUUUCAACUUCUCGCUCUGCUUCUGUGUUCCUCACUGCCGCUGAAAGUGUCCUUGGACACAUUCCCUGAGUGCAGAAACAUUGUUUUUCCGAUUUAUCCUGGAAACUGAUGUGCGAAAUGAGUUUUGCCGCAGGUGUCCACAUACGUGUAGCGUAUUUAUGGAGAUGUACGUUCUUCUCGCGGACCCCCUUUCUUCUCACAGACUUCAGCUUUUAUUGUCACGGCCUGCUAUGAGCUGGAGUACCACUUGUCGCAGAUAGAGAACUGGGGCAGCAGGUGGCGCUGUGCUUAGGAAUCUGGACUGGAGCACAAAAGUACCAGUGGAAGCUGAAAGGGGCCUCUUGCGCCAGACAACUAAAUUCAGAAAGGCUCAUCCUGCUGUGGACAGCUCAAGUACUGAAGUGUACAUGAUCGAAGUGCGACUUGUGGCUAUUUUUAGAAGCCGAAGCAGGAGACGGAGGGAACAGCUGGAGCCGGUUGCCGCAGCCUCGCUCAUGCGCUUGCAGCCCCCCCACGUCCUGCUCACUGACCGGCCCGUCGGAUCCACAGCCUCCAAUUUCUGUGUGUGUGUGUGUGUGUGUGUGUGUGUGUGUGUGUGAGAGAGGGAGAUACACAGAUAGGGACUUUCAGACAGAACCCCGACAUAUUUGGUUUUCUGAAGUCAUACGUGAUCAGGUUACCAAAAAUGUGAAUGAAUGUAUAUUCUGCGUGGACUGGGGUCCUGUCCAGCGUGAACCUCCAUCAGCCUUUCGUCCUGUGAUUCCAAGACAGGCUCCGGGCUACUUCGACCCUGCACAGGACAAGUGGUUCAUAAAAAUGGAUAGAUGGAUGAUUUUAUGAUUUUUAUUUCAUGAUUUUAUAUUAAUCAUAUAAAGUGUUAGCAGCUUUUAUCACAGAAAAAAGGUGUUGGAAAUAUAUAAAGGACUAUUUCAAAGUCUGAGGGUUUAUAGCUACUCAGUCAAUCGGUGUUCACACUAUAUCUCCAUCAUCAUCAAGUUCUUCACCUUGUGUGUGUGUGUGUGUGUGUGUAUUUUGAUCUUUAAAGCGAAGCAUCCUCAAAGUUUUAUUUUAGCAGCGUGAAGCUCCUCAUUUAUCUAAUUAAAGCUCAGGACCCAAGUCAUCUGCCUCCACAGACCGCGGUUCGGUCCCCUCUCUCGCAGGCUGAUGCUGAUGAAGCGUUGCUAUGGUGACGUGACGCCACGAAGUUUUGUGACGUCACAAAGCCUCGGCAAACCGCCGUUUGAACAUUUCCCAGCGCACGCAGGCCUCUGUCUCCAGCUCUAAUUUUAAACACAGUUCAGGGACAGCAGACAUUCUGUGACAUGUCGCGCUUGUUCUCGGAGGUGCAAUAUCAUAACUCUUAUUCCUGAAUAAAGUUAGAGGUCUCCGGUCCUCUGAGGAGGGU
ensembl:lncRNA